GAAGGCCUUCGGGUUGUAAAGCACUUUAGGUAAGGAAGAAAAGUCAUUGUUUAAUACCCAAUGACCAUGACAUUACUUACAGAAUAAGGACCGGCUAACUCCGUGCCAGCAGCCGCGGUAAUACGGAGGGUCCAAGCGUUAAUCGGAAUUACUGGGCGUAAAGCGCGCGUAGGCGGUUUGACAAGUUGGGUGUGAAAUCCCCGGGCUUAACCUGGGAACUGCAUUCAAAACUUUUAAACUGGAGUACGGGAGAGGAGAGUAGAAUUCAUGGUGUAGCGGUGAAAUGCGUAGAUAUCUUGAGGAAUACCAAUGGCGAAGGCAACUCUCUGGACCGUAACUGACGCUGAGGUGCGAAAGCGUGGGUAGCAAACAGGAUUAGAUACCCUGGUAGUCCACGCCGUAAACGAUGACAACUAGCCGUUGGACUUUCGGGUUCAGUGGCACAGCUAACGCAU
rnacentral:rRNA from 1 species